AGAGUUUGAUCCUGGCUCAGAACGAACGCUGGCGGCAUGCCUAACACAUGCAAGUCGAACGAAGGCUUCGGCCUUAGUGGCGCACGGGUGAGUAACGCGUGGGAAUCUGCCUAUCAGUGGGGAAUAACGACGGGAAACUGUCGCUAAUACCGCAUACGCCCUUCGGGGGAAAGAUUUAUCGCUGAUAGAUGAGCCCGCGUACGAUUAGCUAGUUGGUGAGGUAAUGGCUCACCAAGGCUACGAUCGUUAGCUGGUCUGAGAGGAUGAUCAGCCACACUGGGACUGAGACACGGCCCAGACUCCUACGGGAGGCAGCAGUGGGGAAUAUUGGACAAUGGGCGAAAGCCUGAUCCAGCAAUGCCGCGUGAGUGAUGAAGGCCUUAGGGUUGUAAAGCUCUUUCGGGUGGGACGAUGAUGACGGUACCACCAGAAGAAGCCCCGGCUAACUUCGUGCCAGCAGCCGCGGUAAUACGAAGGGGGCUAGCGUUGUUCGGAAUUACUGGGCGUAAAGCGCACGCAGGCGGCUCGUUAAAUUAGAAGUGAAAGCCCCGGGCUUAACCUGGGAAUUGCUUUUAAGACUGGCGAGCUAGAAUCCAGAAGAGGGUAGUGGAAUUCCGAGUGUAGAGGUGAAAUUCGUAGAUAUUCGGAAGAACACCAGUGGCGAAGGCGACUACCUGGUCUGGCAUUGACGCUCAUGUGCGAAAGCGUGGGGAGCAAACAGGAUUAGAUACCCUAGUAGUCC
rnacentral:rRNA from 1 species